UACGAAGGGGGCUAGCGUUGUUCGGAAUUACUGGGCGUAAAGCGCGCGCAGGCGGUCUUCCAAGUCAGUGGUGAAAGCCUGGAGCUCAACUCCAGAACUGCCAUUGAAGCUGUUAGACUUGAGUACGAGAGAGGUGAGUGGAAUUCCCAGUGUAGAGGUGAAAUUCGUAGAUAUUGGGAAGAACACCGGUGGCGAAGGCGGCUCACUGGCUCGUAACUGACGCUCGAGGCGCGACAGCGUGGGAUCAAACAGG
rnacentral:rRNA from 1 species